CCCUGAAUCACAAAUGAGAUCAGGUGGGUGAUUCAUACCUCUCUCAUGGAUGCAACAAAACAAGCUGUUCAUCUAUCUGAUGUGAGUCACAAAUUAUAUAUCAGGUUUGUUUAGUGUCAGUUUUAACCUGCAGCACACAAGUUGCCAGAAGAGUUCAGCAAAGGACACGGAUGCAGAGCAAAUUUCCGGCAUCACUUGGGUGUAUGUGGAGGCACUCCUGCUUCAGAGACAAGACGCAGUGCACUUAAUAAGACAGAAUCCAUGAGGUAGGAAACACACUUAUUCAUCCACAGACAGGAAUCUCAGUUCAGAGGCAGAGUGACUCCAACAAUCCAGAGAGGCAGAAAAAUAACACAUCUCACGGUCUCUACAAAAGGCAGGGCAGCGGCGUCUUCAGAAGUCAAAAA